GACGAACGCUGGCGGCGCGCCUAACACAUGCAAGUCGAACGAGCGAGAGAGAGCUUGCUUUCUUGAGCGAGUGGCGAACGGGUGAGUAACGCGUGAGGAACCUGCCUCAAAGAGGGGGACAACAGUUGGAAACGACUGCUACUACCGCAUAAGCCCACGGUGCCGCAUGGCACCGAGGGAAAAGGAGCAGUCCGCUUUGGGAUGGCCUCGCGUCCGAUUAGCUAGUUGGUGAGGUAACGGCCCACCAAGGCGACGAUCGGUAGCCGGACUGAGAGGUUGAACGGCCACAUUGGGGCUGGGACACGGCCCAGACUCCUGCGGGAGGCAGCAGUGGGGAAUAGUGCACAAUGGGGGAAACCCUGAUGCAGCGACGCCGCGUGGAGGAAGAAGGUCUUCGGAUUGUAAACUCCGGUUGUUGGGGAAGAUAAUGACGGUACCCAACGAGGAAGUGACGGCUAACUACGUG
rnacentral:rRNA from 1 species